rnacentral:rRNA from 1 species
AACGAACGCUGGCGGCAGGCUUAACACAUGCAAGUCGAGCGCCCCGCAAGGGGAGCGGCAGACGGGUGAGUAACGCGUGGGAAUCUACCCAUCUCUACGGAAUAACGCAUGGAAACGUGUGCUAAUACCGUAUACGUCCUUCGGGAGAAAGAUUUAUCGGAGAUGGAUGAGCCCGCGUUGGAUUAGCCAGUUUGUGGGGUAAAGGCCUAACAAGGCGACGAACCAUAGCUUGACUGAGAGGAUGAUCAAGCACACUGGGACUUAGACACGACCCAGAGUCCUAGGGGCGGCAGCAGUGCGGAAUAUAGAAAAAUGUGCGCAAGCCUGAUCCAGCCAUGCCGCGUGAGGGAUGAAGGCUCUAGAGUUGUAAAGCUCUUUCACCGGUGAAGAUAAUGACGGUAACCGGAGAAGAAGGCCCGGCUAACUUGGUGCCAGCAGCCGCCGUAAUAC